AUCUACGGCCAUGCCACCCUGAACGUGCCCGAUCUUGUCUGAUCUUGGAGGCUUAGCAGCGUCAGGCCUGGUUAGUACUUGGAUGGGAGACCACCUAGAAAUACCAGGUGCUGUAGGCG
rnacentral:rRNA from 1 species